AUGAAGAAAUUCCUGGGAGUGUCUCUGGGGAUUCUAUGGCUUCAACUGGCUGGGGCUAACAGUCAACAUGAGGAGCAGAAUCUUCAGGUCCUGAGUAUCCAGGAAGGUGAAAACGUCACAGUGAAGUGCAGUUAUGAAACCUCUAUCACCGAUUUACAAUGGUAUAGGCAAGAUCCAGGAAAAGGCCUUACCCAGCUAGUGUUAAUGUAUUCAAGCGAGAAAAAUAAAGAUAAAGGAAGACUGCAAUUCAAGCUUGACACCACUACCCGGAGCAGCUCCCUGUUCAUCAUCGCUUCCCAGGCUGCAGAUGCUGCUACUUACUUCUGUGCUGUGAAUGCACAGUGUUCCACAGACAGCUGCAGCCCUGACACAAACAUGAGAGCUGCCCCUGACACAUGUCAGCAGUGCACUGAGCUGGUGUUUAUGUCUUUCUCACCCUGCAGGAGAGUUUGCAAACAGCUGGCGCAUAGAGGGUCUUCUUUCAAAUGCAUGGUGCUUCUGGAAGCACCUUGGACCUGA